CUGCCUUUAUGAGCCGUAAAAGCCAGGGUCCAUUGGUCAUCUGAGAAUACUGUACCUAUGUCUCUGUGCCAUGCAUCUCUAAAUUUGUCUGUCUGUAAUUGUUGGUUGGAGUCACUGAGCAGUGUAUAUAGUAGUGAGAGUGGUUUCUUAGGCAUGGUCAUCGAUACACACACUCUUUCUACUCUUUGUGUAUGUUGUGGAAUAUUUAUGGAGGUGUCAUGUGUUAAUAUUCCCUUUAGUUGCAGGUAAGAGAAUAUCAUUCUUUGCGGAAGGCCGUACUCUAUUUGUAGUUCUGGGAAAUGUCUCAGUUGUCCCUGCCCGUACAGGUGUUUAACUAGGGUACAUCCUUAUUCCAGCCACGUACGGUGGUCG